ACGGAGGGUGCAAGCGUUAUUCGGAAUUACUGGGCGUAAAGGGCGUGCAGGCGGGAGAGCAAGUCUGAGGUGAAAGCCCGGGGCUUAACCCCGGAAGGGCAUUUGAAACUGCUUUUCUUGAGUUUUGGUGAGGAAGGGGGAAUUCCCAGUGUAGCGGUGAAAUGCGUAGAGAUCGGGCGGAACACCAGUGGCGAAGGCGCCCUUCUGGACAGCAACUGACGCUGAGGCGCGAAAGCGUGGGGAGCGAACAG
rnacentral:rRNA from 1 species